GGAUAGGGUUAUGUUUAGGGAACAGGUACGGUUUAGGGUAUAGGUAAGGGUCCAACAAUGGGUUAGGGUUAGGGUACGUGUUAGGGUACGGGUUAGAGUUAGUGUAUGGGUUAUGAUUAGCAUACGGGUUAGGGUUAGGGUUAGGGAAUGGGGAUGGUUUAGGGUACAGCUUAGGGUACGACAGUGGUUUAGGGUGAGCGUACAUGUUAGGGUAUGAGUUAGUGUUAGCAUAUGGGUUAGGAUCAGGGGACGGUUUAGGGUACAGGUUAGGGUACGAC